CCUACGGGAGACAGCAGUGAGGAAUAUUGGUCAAUGGACGAGAGUCUGAACCAGCCAAGUAGCGUGAAGGAUGACUGCCCUAUGGGUUGUAAACUUCUUUUAUAUGGGAAUAAAAUGUUCCACGUGUGGGAUUUUGUAUGUACCAUAUGAAUAAGGAUCGGCUAACUCCGUGCCAGCAGCCGCGGUAAUACGGAGGAUCCGAGCGUUAUCCGGAUUUAUUGGGUUUAAAGGGAGCGUAGGUGGAUUUUUAAGUCAGUUGUGAAAGUUUGCGGCUCAACCGUAAAAUUGCAGUUGAAACUGGCAGUCUUGAGUACAGUAGAGGUGGGCGGAAUGCGUGGUGUAGCGGUGAAAUGCUUAGAUAUCACGAAGAACUCCGAUUGCGAAGGCAGUUCACUGGACUGCAACUGACACUGAGGCUCGAAAGUGUGGGUAUCAAACAGGAUUAGAUACCCGGGUAGUC
rnacentral:rRNA from 1 species